AAUAGAUACCCGGGUAGUCCACACCGUAAACGUUGGGCGCUAGGUGUGGGCCUAUUCCAUGGGUUCCGUGCCGCAGCUAACGCAUUAAGCGCCCCGCCUGGGGAGUACGGCCGCAAGGCUAAAACUCAAAGGAAUUGACGGGGGGCCCGCACAAGCGGCGGAGCAUGCGGAUUAAUUCGAUGCAACGCGAAGAACCUUACCUGGGUUUUGACAUACGCCGGAAAGCGCCAGAGAUGGUGCCCCUUUUGUCGGUGUACAGGUGGUGCAUGGCUGUCGUCAGCUCGUGUCGUGAGAUGUUGGGUUAAGUCCCGCAACGAGCGCAACCCUCGUCCUAUGUUGCCAGCACGUUAUGGUGGGGACUCAUAGGAGACUGCCGGGGUCAACUCGGAGGAAGGUGGGGAUGGACGUCAAGUCAUCAUGCCCCUUAUGUCCACGGGCUUCACGCAUGCUACAAUGGCCGGUACAAAGGGCUGCGAUGCUGCAAGGCGGACGCGAAACUCCCGAAAAAGCCGGUUCUCGAGUUCGGAGUUGGGGUCUGCAACUCGAACCCCG
rnacentral:rRNA from 1 species